AUACGUAGGGGGCGAGCGUUGUCCGGAAUGGCUGGGCGUAAAGGGCGUGUAGGCGGCGGUGUAAGUCUGGAGUGAAAGUCCCGCAUUCGAUGUGGGAAUUGCUUUGGAUACUGCCGCGCUUGAGUGCAGGAGAGGUUAUCGGAAUUCCCGGUGUAGCGGUGAAAUGCGUAGAGAUCGGGAGGAACACCAGUGGCGAAGGCGGGUAACUGGACUGCAACUGACGCUGAGGCGCGAAAGUGUGGGGAGCAAACAGGAUUAGAUACCCUGGUAGUCCACACUGUAAACGAUGAAUGCUAGGUGUAAGAGGUAUCGACCCCUUUUGUGCCGGAGUCAACACAAUAAGCAUUCCGCCUGGGGAGUACGGCCGCAAGGUUGAAACUCAAAUGAAUUGACGGGG
rnacentral:rRNA from 1 species